rnacentral:sRNA from 1 species
CACCGCCUGGGGAGUACGACCGCAAGGUUAAAACUCAAAUGAAUUGACGGGGACCCGCACAAGUAGUGGAGCAUGUGGUUUAAUUCGAAGAUACGCGCAGAACCUUACCAACACUUGACAUGUUCGUCGCGACUUUAAGAGAUUAAAGUUUUCGGUUCGGCCGGACGAAACACAGGUGCUGCAUGGCUGUCGUCAGCUCGUGUCGUGAGAUGUUGGGUUAAGUCCCGCAACGAGCGCAACCCUCACUUUUAGUUGCCAUCAUUAAGUUGGGCACUCUGAAAGAACUGCCAGUGAUAAGCUGGAGGAAGGUGGGGAUGACGUCAAGUCCUCAUGGCCCUUACGUGUUGGGCUACACACGUGCUACAAUGGCAUUUACAAUAGGAAGCAAGAUGGCGACGUCAAGCAAAUCCUAAAAAGAUGCCUCAGUUCGGAUUGUACUCUGCAACUCGAGUACAUGAAGCUGGAAUUACUAGUAAUCGCGGAUCAGCGCGCCGCGGUGAAUACGUUCCCGGGUCUUGUACACACCGCCCGUCACACCAUGGGAGUUGGUUCUACCUUAAGGCAAGGUUUAAAACCCUUGACCACGGUAUAGUCAGCGACUGGGGUGAAGUCGUAACAAGGUAGCCGUAGGGGAACCUGCGGCUGGAUUACCUCCUUUCUAAGGAUGAUUAAGGAUAAUUUCUUAAUCUAAAUAAUAUAACAGGUUAAUGUUGACCGUCCUCAUUUCUCUUCUUAAAAUUUGUGUUUCACUCUUCUGCGAAAAGGGCCGGUAGCUCAGUUGGUUAGAGCACACCCUUGAUAAGGGUGGGGUCGAAAGUUCGAGUCUUUCUCGGCCCACCAAUUUAAGAUCAUGGGGGAUUAGCUCAGCUGGGAGAGCGCCUGAUUUGCAUUCAGGAGGUCAGCGGUUCGAUCCCGCUAUCCUCCACCAAACACUUAGUUAUAAAAAUUGUGAAAAAAUAAUUAAUAUCAAUAUCUAUAUCCGAACAUUAGUAAUGUUAUUAGCUAGUGUUCAAAAAAAAAUUUGAUUCAACACAGAAUUUUUUUCUG